rnacentral:tRNA from 1 species
GGAUUGUGGCUCAGUGGCAGAGCGCUUGCCUAGCACAUGUGAGGCACUGGGUUCAAUUCCCAGCACCA